rnacentral:rRNA from 1 species
UACAGAGGUCUCAAGCGUUGUUCGGAUUCAUUGGGCGUAAAGGGUGCGUAGGCGGCGCGGUAAGUCGGGUGUGAAAUUUCGAGGCUUAACUUCGAAACUGCAUUCGAUACUGCCGUGCUUGAGGACUGGAGAGGAGACUGGAAUUUACGGUGUAGCGGUGAAAUGCGUAGAUAUCGUAAGGAAGACCAGUGGCGAAGGCGGGUCUCUGGACAGUUCCUGACGCUGGAGGAGCGAAAGCGUGGGGAGCAAACAGG